rnacentral:rRNA from 1 species
UACGGAAGGCAGCAGUGGGGAAUAUUGCACAAUGGGCGAAAGCCUGAUGCAGCUAUGCCGCGUGUAUGAAGAAGGCCUUAGGGUUGUAAAGUACUUUCAUCGGGGAGGAAAAACAAAACUAAUAAUUUUAUUUCUUGACGUUACCCGAAAAAGAAGCACUGGCUAACUCCGUGCCAGCAGCCGCGGUAAUACGGAGGGUGCUAGCGUUAAUCAGAAUUACUGGGCGUAAAGAGCACGUAGGUGGUUUUUUUAAGUUCAGAUGUGAAAUCCCUGGGCUUAACCUAGGAACUGCAUUUUGAAACUGAAAUACUAGAGUAUCGUAGAGGGAGGUAGAAUUCUAGGUGUAGCGGUGAAAUGCGUAGAUAUCUGGAGGAAUACCUGUGGCGAAAGCGGCCUCCUAAACGAAUACUGACACUGAGGUGCGAAAGCGUGGGGAGCAAACAGGGAUUAGAUACC